ACAACAAUGUCAGUAGCGACAACAACGACAACGACAACAACAGCAACAACAACAACAACAACACCAACACCAACAACACCAACACCAACACCACCACCAACAACAACAACCAGAACAACAACAACAACAACAACGACAACAGCGAUAACAACGACAACAACGACAUCAACGACAACAAUGACAAAACAACGAUAAUGACGAGAACAACGACAACAACAA
rnacentral:lncRNA from 1 species